AUUGAACGCUGGCGGCAUGCUUUACACAUGCAAGUCGAACGGUAACAGGCCGCAAGGUGCUGACGAGUGGCGAACGGGUGAGUAAUGCAUCGGAACGUGCCCAGUCGUGGGGGAUAACGCAGCGACAGCUGCGCUAAUACCGCAUACGAUCUAUGGCUGAAAGCGGGGGACCGUAAGGCCUCGCGCGAUUGGAGCGGCCGAUGGCAGAGUAGGUAGUUGGUGGGGUAAAGGCUCACCAAGCCGACGAUCUGUAGCUGGUCUGAGAGGACGACCAGCCACACUGGGACUGAGACACGGCCCAGACUCCUACGGGAGGCAGCAGUGGGGAAUUUUGGACAAUGGGCGCAAGCCUGAUCCAGCAAUGCCGCGUGCAGGAAGAAGGCCUUCGGGUUGUAAACUGCUUUUGUACGGAACGAAACGGUCCUGGUUAAUACCCGGGGCUAAUGACGGUACCGUAAGAAUAAGCACCGGCUAACUACGUGCCAGCCGCCGCAGUAAUAC
rnacentral:rRNA from 1 species